rnacentral:rRNA from 1 species
GGACGAACGCUGGCGGCGUGCUUAACACAUGCAAGUCGAGCGGUAAGGCCCUUUCGGGGGUACGACGAGCGGCGAACGGGUGAGUAACACGUGGGUGACCUGCCUCUAGCUCUGGGAUAAGCCUGGGAAGCUGGGUCUAAUACCGGAUAUGACCUCGCGGUGCAUGUUGCGGGGUGGAAAGCCUUGUGCGGCUAGGGAUGGGCCCGCGGCCUAUCAGCUUGUUGGUGGGGUGAGGCCUACCAAGGCGACGACGGGUAGCCGGCCUGAGAGGGCGACCGGCCACACUGGGACUGAGACACGGCCCAGACUCCUACGGGAGGCAGCAGUGGGGAAUCUUGCGCAAUGGGCGAAAGCCUGACGCAGCGACGCCGCGUGGGGA